UGGGGAAUAUUGGGCAAUGGAGGGAACUCUGACCCAGCAACGCCGCGUGAAGGAUGAAGGUUUUCGGAUUGUAAACUUCUGUCGCGAGGGACGAAGAAUGACGGUACCUCGUAAGAAAGCCCCGGCAAACUACGUGCCAGCAGCCGCGGUAAUACGUAGGGGGCGAGCGUUGUCCGGAAUGACUGGGCGUAAAGGGAGUGUAGGCGGCCUUUUAAGUUAUAUGUGAAAUCCCGUGGCUUAACCAUGGAAGUGCAUAUAAAACUGGAGGGCUGGAGUGCAGGAGAGGUAAGUGGAAUUCCUAGUGUAGCGGUGGAAUGCGUAGAUAUUAGGAGGAACACCAGAGGCGAAGGCGGCUUACUGGCCUGUAACUGACGCUGAGGCUCGAAAGCGUGGGGAGCAA
rnacentral:rRNA from 1 species